rnacentral:rRNA from 1 species
GACGAACGCUGGCGGCGUGCCUAACACAUGCAAGUCGAGCGAUGAAGCUCCUUCGGGAGUGAAUUAGCGGCGGACGGGUGAGUAACACGUGGGUAACCUGCCUCAUAGAGGGGAAUAGCCUUCCGAAAGGGAGAUUAAUACCGAAUAAAAUAGCACUACCGCAUGGUAGAGUUAUCAAAGGGGCAAUACGCUAUGAGAUGGACCCGCGGCGCAUUAGCUAGUUGGUGAGGUAACGGCUCACCAAGGCGACGAUGCGUAGCCGACCUGAGAGGGUGAUCGGCCACAUUGGAACUGAGACACGGUCCAGACUCCUACGGGAGGCAGCAGUGGGGAAUAUUGCGCAAUGGGGGAAACCCUGACGCAGCAACGCCGCGUGAGUGAAGAAGGCCUUAGGGUUGUAAAGCUCUGUCAUAUGGGAAGAUAAUGACGGUACCAUAAGAGGAAGCCACGGCUAACUACGUGCCAGCAGCCGCAGUAAUAC